UUAAGCGAUAAACUAAGUUUUGGUUUGGCUGUUUAGAACUUAGUAGAUCUUGGGGUCAUAAUAAAGCCAUCGAAUUUACCGUAACUUCUCAAUGUUUCAUUCUUUGUUCAUGUAAGAUUUGAUCACAUUGCUAAUUAAUUGGUUUGUGUCGAAUAAAUGUUUCUUAAAGUCAUUGCUAUUCCCUCCCGUGAUUGAUUGUCUUUGAUUAAUU
rnacentral:lncRNA from 1 species